GAACGCUGGCGGCGUGCUUAACACAUGCAAGUCGAACGGAAAGGCCCUGCUUGCAGGGUACUCGAGUGGCGAACGGGUGAGUAACACGUGGGUGAUCUGCCCUGCACUUCGGGAUAAGCCUGGGAAACUGGGUCUAAUACCGGAUAGGAGCCAUUUUUAGUGUGAUGGUUGGAAAGUUUUUUCGGUGUAGGAUGAGCUCGCGGCCUAUCAGCUUGUUGGUGGGGUAAUGGCCUACCAAGGCGGCGACGGGUAGCCGGCCUGAGAGGGUGGACGGCCACAUUGGGACUGAGAUACGGCCCAGACUCCUACGGGAGGCAGCAGUGGGGAAUAUUGCACAAUGGGCGCAAGCCUGAUGCAGCGACGCCGCGUGGGGGAUGACGGCCUUCGGGUUGUAAACUCCUUUCGCUAGGGACGAAGCUUUUUGUGACGGUACCUAGAUAAGAAGCACCGGCUAACUACGUG
rnacentral:rRNA from 1 species